UAUAAAAUGCGCGUUCACAUUUAUUGCAUACGUUGAAUAAGUAUAAACAAGUUUUGUUAUUUCCUUUCUGUUAAAAAGCCAAUAAUGGCGGUUACAAGUUUUGAGUUUACUUUUUGUAUAUUUAUUAUGUUGAAUUUCUUCACUGGUUCAAUGAUGCAAGAGAAGGACCGAGGCAACGCAACCCUGAAAUUUAAUGAAGCGUAUUAUAUUGCCAGGAACAUGCUCAUGGAUUUCUUCGAUCUGUUCACUGAGUGUGUACACUCGACCAUUAAGCAAAACUUCAUAAUAGAUGACAUACAAAGUUACCUAUUUUACCCAGCGAAAACUACU